AUUGAACGCUGGCGGCAUGCCUUACACAUGCAAGUCGAACGGCAGCACGGGUGCUUGCACCUGGUGGCGGGUGGCGAACGGGUGAGUAAUACAUCGGAACAUGUCCUGUAGUGGGGGAUAGCCCGGCGAAAGCCGGAUUAAUACCGCAUACGAUCUACGGAUGAAAGCGGGGGACCUUCGGGCCUCGCGCUAUAGGGUUGGCCGAUAGCUGAUUAGCUAGUUGGUGGGGUAAAGGCCUACCAAGGCGACGAUCAGUAGCUGGUCUGAGAGGACGACCAGCCACACUGGGACUGAGACACGGCCCAGACUCCUACGGGAGGCAGCAGUGGGGAAUUUUGGACAAUGGGCGAAAGCCUGAUCCAGCAAUGCCGCGUGUGUGAAGAAGGCCUUCGGGUUGUAAAGCACUUUUGUCCGGAAAGAAAUCCUUGGCUCUAAUACAGUCGGGGGAUGACGGUACCGGAAGAAUAAGCACCGGCUAACUACGUG
rnacentral:rRNA from 1 species